CGGGACGGGUGAGUAAUGUCUGGGAAACGUGCCUGAUGGAGGGGGGUAACUACUGGAAACGGGAGCUAAUACCGCAUAACGUCGCAAGACCAAAGAGGGGGACCUUCGGGCCUCUUGCCAUCGGAUGUGCCCAGAUGGGAUUAGCUAGUAGGUGGGGUAACGGCUCACCUAGGCGACGAUCCCUAGCUGGUCUGAGAGGAUGACCAGCCACACUGGAACUGAGACACGGUCCAG
rnacentral:rRNA from 1 species